AGAGUUUGAUCAUGGCUCAGGAUGAACGCUAGCUACAGGCUUAACACAUGCAAGUCGAGGGGAAACGGACAUCGAAAGCUUGCUUUUGUAUGGGCGUCGACCGGCGCACGGGUGAGUAACGCGUAUCCAACCUGCCCAUCACUUGGGGAUAACCUUGCGAAAGUAAGACUAAUACCCAAUGACGUCUCUAGAAGACAUCUGAAAGAGAUUAAAGAUUUAUCGGUGAUGGAUGGGGAUGCGUCUGAUUAGCUUGUUGGCGGGGUAACGGCCACCAAGGCGACGAUCAGUAGGGGUUCUGAGAGGAAGGUCCCCANAUUGGAACUGAGACACGGUCCAAACUCCUACGGGAGGCA
rnacentral:rRNA from 1 species